rnacentral:rRNA from 1 species
UACGGGGGGGGCAAGCGUUGUUCGGAAUUACUGGGCGUAAAGGGCUCGUAGGCGGCCAACUAAGUCAGACGUGAAAUCCCUCGGCUUAACCGGGGAACUGCGUCUGAUACUGGAUGGCUUGAAUCCGGGAGAGGGAUGCGGAAUUCCAGGUGUAGCGGUGAAAUGCGUAGAUAUCGUUUGGAACGCCGAUGGUGAAAACAGGUCGCUGGGGUUGUGCUGACGCUGAGACACGAAAGCCAGGGGAGCGAACGGG